rnacentral:miRNA from 1 species
AUCCGGGACAUGCAGCUCUCC